CAACAGGGGCUUCAAACAGGGGCUUCAACCCCCAAAGCCCCCUUAGCAAUUCCUAUGUCUAUGUGUAUCUGUGUGCUUUAGGGUGGAUGUGUGUCAGUAUGGAUAUGUGUGUGUCAUUGAUUAUGGGGAUAUAGUUUAUGAACCUGUGCUACCCACCUUCAUAAACUUACUACAUUGUAUAAUUUGUUCUGCCACUUUGCGCUACAAUGCAAUUACAUGACCAAACACUAUGUCCUGUUAAAAUAGCUAAACUGGCUAUCGCAGGAAUCCUAAAGCAAUCUUUAUCUUUCCAGCCUUGUGCUAAGAGCAUUUCUGGGAAGCUCCCACCCUACCUGAGUAGAAUGCUCUCCCUGGUUGUUCCCACCUCCUGUAACCUCCGAUCCAGUGCCAGCACUUUAGCAUACCGCAAUACAAAAAUAAAGUGGCUCUAUCCUCAUUUUCCUACAGAGCACCACAAUUAUGGAAUAACCUCACAGACACAGUCAAAUCUUCAUUCAAUCUAAAAUCUUUUAAGAGAUCUAUGGCAACAUACAUCAAUACAGAAUGCAC